rnacentral:rRNA from 1 species
AGAGUUUGAUCAUGGCUCAGGAUAAACGCUGGCGGCGUGCCUAACACAUGCAAGUCGAACGCCCUGGUGCUCUUCGGAGCGCGAGGGAGUGGCGGACGGGUGAGUAACACAUGGGUGACCUACCCCACAGUGAGGAAUACCGGCGAGAAAUCGCCGACAAGACCGCAUAGGCUUUCUGGGGUGGAACCGAGAGAGCAAAGUCGCAAGACGCUGAGGGAUGGGCCUGUGGCCGAUUAGCUGGUUGGUGGGGUAACGGCUCACCAAGGCGACGAUCGGUAGCUGGUCUGAGAGGACGAUCAGCCACACUGGGAUUGAGAACGGCCCAGACUCCUACGGGGGGCAGCAGUGAGGAAUUUUCCGCAAUGGAGGCAACUCUGACGGAGCAACGCCGCGUGCAGGAGGACGCUUUUCGGAGUGUAAACUGCUUUUCUGUGGGACGAGCAAGGACGGUACCACAGGAAGAAGCCCCGGCUAACUACGUGCCAGCAGCCGCGGUAAUACGUAGGGGGCGAGCGUUGUCCGGAGUUACUGGGCGUAAAGGGCACGCAGGCGGUGCGGCGCGUUUCGCGUGACAGCGGAGGGCUUACCUCUCCGAGGAUGCGAAAGACGGCGGCACUUGAGGGCCAGAGAGGGACACGGAAUUCCGGGUGGAGUGGUGAAAUGCGUAGAGAUCCGGAGGAACACCGAAGGCGAAGGCAGUGUCCUGGCUGGUGACUGACGCUGAGGUGCGAAAGCUAGGGGAGCGAACGGGAUUAGAUACCCCAGUAGUCC